rnacentral:ncRNA from 3 species
AUGACUGAACGCCUCUAAGUC